rnacentral:snoRNA from 1 species
AUGCCAUUAUGGGGGCAUGCAGUGAUGUACUCUUGGAGGAGUACCCAUGCCUCGGAGAUGGACUUGUCAUCCUGCUGUUGGAAACUUGAUAUCUUGUUCAAAGGGCGU